rnacentral:rRNA from 1 species
AUGUCAACUAGAGUAAUGGCCCCAGCCAAGAAGAUUGCGGCGGCACGAAUCCUUGUCAUCAUCAUGGUGGCAACUGCAUUAUUACAGACGUCAAGGGCCACCAUCACGAAGUCCGGCGAGGAGCUGUUCAAGAUGGCCCUUGUCGGGCUCAUGGAUGUGGCCAUUGACGACGUCAUCGCCGCCACCCCACCAUCGAAAAUACCCGAAGUAAAAGCGGCUGGGGAGAAGCAGCAACUCCUUGCUAUGGCCAAGGUGGACACGGCCAAAGGAGACAAGGCCAAAUUAGAAGCAUUCAUGUCGGCCUACAAGAAGGCUGCUGAGCAAGUCCUUGUCGCGCCACCUGCUCAGAAGUUCUCGGUUAUGGAUACAGGCUUUACCGAGGCUUCUCACCCAGCUCCGUAA